rnacentral:rRNA from 1 species
CGAGUGGCGAACGGGUGAGUAACACGUGGGUGAUCUGCCCUGCACUCUGGGAUAAGUCUGGGAAACUGGGUCUAAUACCGGAUAGGACCAUGCUUUAGUGUGUGUGGUGGAAAGUUUUUUCGGUGUAGGAUGAGCCCGCGGCCUAUCAGCUUGUUGGUGGGGUAAUGGCCUACCAAGGCGGCGACGGGUAGCCGGACUGAGAGGUUGGUCGGCCACAUUGGGACUGAGAUACGGCCCAG